GCUAUGUUGGCUUAGUGGUUAGAGCGUCCGCUUCAGAUGCUGGAGGUCGUGGGUUCCAUCCCUGGUCGAGUCAUACCA